CUUCUACGGGAUGAUUGAAUUAUGCAACAUUGAGUCAAGCUCUGAGUUCCAAAGCGAACGUGGACGAGACUUGCUUUAUAGUCUGAUUUUUGAAG